UAGCCCAGGUCACAACUAAAGAUCAUGAGUUUGGAGGAAUUAUAUGCUUGUCAAAAUUGAAAAUCCUUGUAUAUUGUGCAAGGAUGUGGGCUGUGCAUCAUAUCAUUCCUCUGUUUAUUUUGCCAAGGUAUGAAUUUUCUAUUUACCAACUUUGAAUGAAGGGGUUGCCAUACUUCCUUUGAUCCCUACAGUUGUUAGAGAACUACCUAAGAUGAAAUUUCUAGCUAUUCGAUAGACAUAAAAGAAAUGAACAUGACAGUGGUCCACACUGAGCGAGAAAAGGCAAAAGAUUGGAUUGCUGGCAUUUUCUAAUCUCACACACAUGAUCCCAUAUAUGUGGGAGCAUGGAUCUUGAUUCUAUCUUAUGGUUCCCACCAUCAAUUGAACUGAGACCCAGCUGUGUUGGGUCUUUUUUUUUUUUUUUUUUUAAAUUAUUAGUUAAAAAGUAUGGUGUUGUGAAGUGAAAAUAGUGAUAGGAAAGUGUAAUUGUGUCAGGUUGGUGGAUACACAGUGGAGUAAAAGGGAGACAACACUAGUGCAGUGAGAGGAGCAGGAUAAUGAGAAAGUGGAUAUGCGAAGGCUUGUUGAUUGGAACCAAUCAAAGGGUUGUGGCUAUUAAAGAUAUAAUAUCACCUCCUUAUAAGGAAACAUUUAAUGAUGUGUACAAGUAAAUUCAUUUUUUCUUAUUCCUUAUAUUGUUUCCCAGUUAUAUUUGUGUUGGUUUCACAGUACAGGUAGCGAUAGAAAUUAUUGGUCGAUUGUGGCUUGUAGACAAAGGGAUGAGUAACCAACAAUACAAAUAUGGGAGGCCUUGCCCAAGUAUCCA